rnacentral:rRNA from 1 species
UCAGUCGACUCCUACGGGAGGCAGCAGUGGGGAAUCUUGCGCAAUGGGCGAAAGCCUGACGCAGCCAUGCCGCGUGAAUGAUGAAGGUCUUAGGAUUGUAAAAUUCUUUCACCGGGGACGAUAAUGACGGUACCCCGGAGAAGAAGCCCCGGCUAACUUCGUGCCAGCAGCCGCGGUAAUACGAAGGGGGCUAGCGUUGCUCGGAAUUACUGGGCGUAAAGGGAGCGUAGGCGGACAUUUAAGUCAGGGGUGAAAUCCCGGGGCUCAACCUCGGAAUUGCCUUUGAUACUGGGUGUCUUGAGUGUGAGAGAGGUAUGUGGAACUCCGAGUGUAGAGGUGAAAUUCGUAGAUAUUCGGAAGAACACCAGUGGCGAAGGCGACAUACUGGCUCAUUACUGACGCUGAGGCUCGAAAGCGUGGGGAGCAAACAGGAUUAGAUACCCUGGUAG